rnacentral:rRNA from 1 species
UAAAGGGCGUGUAGGUGGUUCUAUAAGUCAGAAGUUAAAUCAGUGGGCUCAACCCAACUGUUGCUUUUGAAACUGUAGGACUAGAGUUUGGGAGAAGAAGGUGGAAUUAUCAGAGUAGCGGUGGAAUGCGUAGAUACUGAUAGGAAGGCCAAAGACGAAGGUAGCCUUCUGGACCAAUACUGACACUGAGGCGCUAAAGCUAGGGGAGCAAACAGGAUUAGAUACCCUGGUAGUCCUAGCCCUAAACGAUGGAUACUAGAUGUGGGAUAUCGUAUAUUCCGUAUCGAAGCUAACGCGUUAAGUAUCCCGCCUGGGGAGUACGAUCGCAAGAUUGAAACUUAAAGGAAUUGACGGGGACCCGCACAAGCAGUGGAGCAUGUGGUUUAAUUCGAUGAUACGCGAGAAACCUUACCAGGUCUUGACAUUACUAGGAAGGAUGCAGAAAUGUAUUCGUCUCUUCGGAGACCUUUAACAGGUGGUGCAUGGCU